ensembl:lncRNA novel transcript
UUUAGAAUCACAGUUUACCUCGCUUCAUACUGAUCUGUGCUCUGGAGGACGUGCAGUUUCUGUUACAUGUGAUCCAGGGGGCUGCGUGUGUUGGAUUAACCGGGCUCAUUACGUCUUACAAAUUGCUUGUCAGGAGAAGGCAGCUCGGGGCAGGUUGAAAGACUGUUAUCAGCAGCACUCAACAAACAUCAGCGAACGGACACUCUCUUCUUCAUCAUAACCAAUUUGUAUUUAUGAAAGAUCCCUUGGUGCUCUUUAGUGGGCUGCAGUGAGAAGAUGUGAUUUGGAACUUUGAGAAGUUUGUGGUCAAGAAGGUGACCUGCAGAUAUUCAGUCAAAACUAAACAACCACAGCCACACUUCUCUGCGUUCCUGCUUCAUCCACUCAUUGUGCCCAGGGCUCCCCAGCAAUCUCUCCGCUCUUUAGUCUUUUGAAUGCAGUGAAGGUGACCUUCUGGAUUUCUGAGCCUGGGCCUGGCAACUUCUGCUUCACUUCUUGGGAGCCAGCUGCUAUGUAAAGAAGACUGAGCAAGACAGCUGAAAGAUAUGUAGAGAGAGAAGCCAAGACAGUGCCCAGCUAUCCCAGUCACACCCACAGACUCACCACAUGUAUGAGUGAAGCCAUCUUGGACUUUCCAGCUGAGCUCCCAGCUAAAGGCAGCUGCAAGGGUGAUCCCAGCUGAUGCCAUGUGAAACAGAAGAACCAUCCACCUGAGCCCAGCCAAGUAUCUGAAGCUACAUAUGCCAGAGUCCCCCUGCUUGGGAUGGAGGAGAGCUGUUUUACUCCCAACACAGUCCAGACAAGGCUAACCAUAUGAUGCUGAUGCUGCUGGUGUAUGGAUCUUGGAUGAGGCUGCAUCUCCUGGGUGGAGGUGCUGCAGCCCAGUGAGCAUCAGGGAAGACUGGAGCACUGAUUCUCUGACUUCCUGUUGAACCACUGAUAGGAUCAAGCGGACUUGUUGGCUUAUUGGUGCUCAGAGAUAUUGAGGAUCCCCAGUAGAUCCUUUUCACAGAAUUGUGUAAAACUUCAGAACAUGGGGGGAGGGCAGCCAAGAUGGCCAAAUAGGAAUAGCUCCGGUCUACAGCUCCCAGCGUGAGCGACGCAGAAGAUGGGUGAUUUCUGCAUUUCCAUCUGAGGUACAAGGUUCAUCUCACUAGGGAGUGCCAGACAGUGGGCACAGGACAGUGGGUGCAGCGCACCGUGUGCGAGCCGAAGCAGGGUGAGGCAUUGCCUCACUCGGGAAGUGCAAGGGGUCAGGGAGUUCCCUUUCCUAGUCAAAGAAAGGGGUGACAGACAGCACCUGGAAAAUCGGGUCACUCCC